UCAAGUGAAGAAGCGCAUACGGUGGAUGCCUUGGCAGUCAGAGGCGAUGAAAGACGUGGUAGCCUGCGAAAAGCUUCGGGGAGUCGGCAAACAGACUUUGAUCCGGAGAUCUCUGAAUGGGGGAACCCACCUAGGAUAACCUAGGUAUCUUGUACUGAAUCCAUAGGUGCAAGAGGCGAACCAGGGGAACUGAAACAUCUAAGUACCCUGAGGAAAAGAAAUCAACCGAGAUUCCCUUAGUAGUGGCGAGCGAACGGGGAUUAGCCCUUAAGCUUCAUUGAUUUUAGCGGAACGCUCUGGAAAGUGCGGCCAUAGUGGGUGAUAGCCCCGUACGCGAAAGGAUCUUUGAAGUGAAAUCGAGUAGGACGGAGCACGAGAAACUUUGUCUGAACAUGGGGGGACCAUCCUCCAAGGCUAAAUACUACUGACUGACCGAUAGUGAACCAGUACCGUGAGGGAAAGGCGAAAAGAACCCCGGAGAGGGGAGUGAAAUAGAACCUGAAACCGUAUGCGUACAAGCAGUGGGAGCCUACUUGUUAGGUGACUGCGUACCUUUUGUAUAAUGGGUCAGCGACUUAUAUUCAGUGGCAAGCUUAACCGUAUAGGGUAGGCGUAGCGAAAGCGAGUCUUAAUAGGGCGUUUAGUCGCUGGGUAUAGACCCGAAACCGGGCGAUCUAUCCAUGAGCAGGUUGAAGGUUAGGUAACACUGACUGGAGGACCGAACCCACUCCCGUUGAAAAGGUAGGGGAUGACUUGUGGAUCGGAGUGAAAGGCUAAUCAAGCUCGGAGAUAGCUGGUUCUCCUCGAAAGCUAUUUAGGUAGCGCCUCAUGUAUCACUCUGGGGGGUAGAGCACUGUUUCGGCUAGGGGGUCAUCCCGACUUACCAAACCGAUGCAAACUCCGAAUACCCAGAAGUGCCGAGCAUGGGAGACACACGGCGGGUGCUAACGUCCGUCGUGAAAAGGGAAACAACCCAGACCGCCAGCUAAGGUCCCAAAGUUGUGGUUAAGUGGUAAACGAUGUGGGAAGGCUUAGACAGCUAGGAGGUUGGCUUAGAAGCAGCCACCCUUUAAAGAAAGCGUAAUAGCUCACUAGUCGAGUCGGCCUGCGCGGAAGAUGUAACGGGGCUCAAACCACACACCGAAGCUGCGGGUGUCACGCAAGUGACGCGGUAGAGGAGCGUUCUGUAAGCCUGUGAAGGUGAGUUGAGAAGCUUGCUGGAGGUAUCAGAAGUGCGAAUGCUGACAUGAGUAACGACAAUGGGUGUGAAAAACACCCACGCCGAAAGACCAAGGGUUCCUGCGCAACGUUAAUCGACGCAGGGUUAGUCGGUUCCUAAGGCGAGGCUGAAAAGCGUAGUCGAUGGGAAACAGGUUAAUAUUCCUGUACUUCUGGUUACUGCGAUGGAGGGACGGAGAAGGCUAGGCCAGCUUGGCGUUGGUUGUCCAAGUUUAAGGUGGUAGGCUGAAAUCUUAGGUAAAUCCGGGGUUUCAAGGCCGAGAGCUGAUGACGAGUCGUCUUUUAGAUGACGAAGUGGUUGAUGCCAUGCUUCCAAGAAAAGCUUCUAAGCUUCAGGUAACCAGGAACCGUACCCCAAACCGACACAGGUGGUCGGGUAGAGAAUACCAAGGCGCUUGAGAGAACUCGGGUGAAGGAACUAGGCAAAAUGGCACCGUAACUUCGGGAGAAGGUGCGCCGGCUAGGGUGAAGGAUUUACUCCGUAAGCUCUGGCUGGUCGAAGAUACCAGGCCGCUGCGACUGUUUAUUAAAAACACAGCACUCUGCAAACACGAAAGUGGACGUAUAGGGUGUGACGCCUGCCCGGUGCCGGAAGGUUAAUUGAUGGGGUUAGCGCAAGCGAAGCUCUUGAUCGAAGCCCCGGUAAACGGCGGCCGUAACUAUAACGGUCCUAAGGUAGCGAAAUUCCUUGUCGGGUAAGUUCCGACCUGCACGAAUGGCGUAACGAUGGCGGCGCUGUCUCCACCCGAGACUCAGUGAAAUUGAAAUCGCUGUGAAGAUGCAGUGUAUCCGCGGCUAGACGGAAAGACCCCGUGAACCUUUACUGUAGCUUUGCACUGGACUUUGAGCCUGCUUGUGUAGGAUAGGUGGGAGGCUUUGAAGCGUGGACGCCAGUUCGCGUGGAGCCAUCCUUGAAAUACCACCCUGGCAUGCUUGAGGUUCUAACUCUGGUCCGUAAUCCGGAUCGAGGACAGUGUAUGGUGGGCAGUUUGACUGGGGCGGUCUCCUCCUAAAGAGUAACGGAGGAGUACGAAGGUGCGCUCAGACCGGUCGGAAAUCGGUCGCAGAGUAUAAAGGCAAA
rnacentral:rRNA from 1 species